rnacentral:lncRNA from 1 species
AAGUGAAUUUCCCUAGAAAUCCACUCCUCCUUUUGGGUGAAUUUGGACUGUGCUAGGAAGGAGAUAUGGCUCAAUCUUGUGGCGCCAUCUUAUAUGUAACAUCGGAAAUAAAACAGAUUUUAUUGGAAAGUUCUAAUGACACACGUGUUGGUAAAAGAUGCAUGUAUCAAGUUGUUAGAAAUAAAACACGUUAGAAAUCGAAUAAAUUCGCUGUUUUUAAGUGAAAUAGUUUCAAUUUAAAAAACUGGUGUUUUCAAUUAAUCAAGCAGAUUUUAAUCAUGGUGCCACAUUGUUGCGUGCCAUUUUGUAAAAAGGAUGAUCGGAGAAAAAAGGGCCAUGAUGUUUCGUAUCAUGAAUUUCCUUGUGAUACUGAUGUGAGAAUAAAAUGGAUCAACGCAAUAGCAAAAAAAGAUCCUAAAACGAAUAAAUUAUGGUUACCAAGCGAUUGCUCUAUGGUUUGCAGUUUACAUUUCGAAAAGAACUGUUUCAGAACUUCAUCCUCAUACGUCAUGAAGCGACAUCCUCAUCUCAAAAGGCUUGUAAAGGGAAGCAUUCCGACAAUAUUUCCUGGACAGCAAAUUAAGCAGAAAAAAACAUACCAAGAACUCCUGGAUGAAAUGUGUAAUGUGUGGAAUUACCAAUCAUACAAUGCUUGAUAAAAGAAACUUUUACAGGUUUCCCAAGGAUCCUGAAAGGUGCCGACAAUGGAUUGCAGCUGUUGGAGACAGCAAACUUAAAUCACUUUCUCCAAAGGCCCUUUAUGUGAGAUACAGAAUCUGUUCUCUCCACUUUGAUGAAUGUUCUUUUUCUUCUUCAAAACGGAAACUGCUAACUGCAACCGCUGCACCAUGUAAAAAAGGAAUUCCUCCACAAAUUUUAAAAAUGUCCGAGAAAAUAAAGAUCAAGAUGAACUAUUUCAGAGACUUGUCUGCCUCGCAAAUACCCGAUCUACAGACAUUCAGCGGAGAGGCUGAAAUCACUGUAGGUGAAUCUCCAUAUUUAACUCAAAAUGCAAUUAGCAGUUGCUUUAGGGACAACAGAAAUUACACAAGUAUAUAUAUUAGGGAUCAUGAAUUAGUUUUUUUAAACUAGGAAAAAUAAAAUAAUAACUCGUAUGAAAUCUAACGAAUUACUAGUAAGGAAGGCGAGAUUGAAAAUAUCUACAUCUAUUUGAUUGACUCAGUAACAAAGUGGAGUUAAACGAUAUUAUCAAGCACACCUCUAAUUUUCAUCUGAUUAUCAAUUUUGUCUUGACAUUUUUAUUCUGCCUUCCUCGCUUGUGAUUCCUUAGAUGUCAGUAGUUUCUUCCUCGCUUAAAUAAUUAUUUUAAAAGCGACUAAUAUUUACACUUUUUGGAUACAGAGUUUAAAAAUAUAAAUGAAGGGUAAAAUAUGUCAGUGACUUAUCUACAUCGCAAUUACCCGAUAAACAGACAUUCGGCGUAGAAGGUGAAAUCAUAUUUAAUUCAAAAUACAAUUAGCAGUUGCUAAGGGGAAAAAAUUAGAGAUAUAGAAAUUAGAGAAAAAUUAAGAGAUAAAAUUAUACAUAUUAGAGAUUAUAAAUUGGUUUUUUAACUAAAAAAAAUUAAAUUAAAUAAAAACUCGUUUGAAAUCUAGCGAAUUACUAGUAAGGAAGGCGAGAUUGAAAAUAUCUACA